GUCCGGGAUGCUGUGCCAACCUUAUCUGCAGCAGGAAAUUGCAGGGGCAAGACUAGGCAGCAGAUAAAGGCAUUCUGGCACCACCGAAAAGCUUGCACUCCACGUCUCAACUAUCACCGUCUGGGUUUCAAGCUGAAGGCUUUCACCAGUGCCAACCAGACGCCCCUUCAAAGUUCAUAUGCUUUUUUUGACGGAACAGUGACACCUGGUAAACCUGUCACGCAGAUGCCCUACCCCUUGGUAUGCAUAGUUCAAGAUUGUACCGAAACAAUCCACAUGGAGCAUUACAACACACCACAUACUGCAUGUCUAUGCUGCGUGUACAAUGCAUCAAACCUAUUCUCAGGUACAGGCCAGCUGGUACGCAAUUACAACAUGAAACAACUGACACAGGGACCGUAAAGUCAUGCCUUUUCCUCCGCGCCUCGGGUUUCAUGUUAUUAUCCUCACAUGCAGCUCAAUUCGCCUGUGCUGUGCAGCAUGAGCAAAAGCAUAUAUUGUUUGUGGUCACAUGACACGGAACAUAAAUACAGUGAAACCUUCCUAUGUUGGACACCCGCGGUGCA